AUUGAACGCUGGCGGCAUGCCUUACACAUGCAAGUCGAACGGUAACAGGGAGCUUGCUCCGCUGACGAGUGGCGAACGGGUGAGUAAUGCAUCGGAACGUACCCAGUAGUGGGGGAUAACGCAGCGAAAGCUGUGCUAAUACCGCAUACGCACUGAGGUGGAAAGCAGGGGACCUUCGGGCCUUGUGCUAUUGGAGCGGCCGAUGUCAGAUUAGCUAGUUGGUGGGGUAAAAGCUCACCAAGGCGACGAUCUGUAGCUGGUCUGAGAGGAUGAUCAGCCGCACUGGGACUGAGACACGGCCCAGACUCCUACGGGAGGCAGCAGUGGGGAAUUUUGGACAAUGGGGGCAACCCUGAUCCAGCCAUGCGGCGUGAGUGAAGAAGGCCUUCGGGUUGUAAAGCUCUUUCGGCCGGGAAGAAAUCGCCAUCUCUAACAUAGGUGGUGGAUGACGGUACCGGAAUAAGAAGCACCGGCUAACUACGUGCCAGCCGCCGCAGUAA
rnacentral:rRNA from 1 species